rnacentral:rRNA from 1 species
AUUGAACGCUGGCGGCAUGCUUUACACAUGCAAGUCGAACGGCAGCGCGGGCUUCGGCCUGGCGGCGAGUGGCGAACGGGUGAGUAAUACAUCGGAACGUGCCCAGUCGUGGGGGAUAGCUCGGCGAAAGCCGGAUUAAUACCGCAUACGACCUGAGGGUGAAAGCGGGGGAUCUUCGGACCUCGCGCUAUUGGCGCGGCCGAUGGCAGAUUAGCUAGUUGGUGGGGUAAAGGCCUACCAAGGCGACGAUCCGUAGCUGGUCUGAGAGGACGACCAGCCACACUGGGACUGAGACACGGCCCAGACUCCUACGGGAGGCAGCAGUGGGGAAUUUUGGACAAUGGGCGAAAGCCUGAUCCAGCAAUGCCGCGUGUGUGGUGAAGGCCUUCGGGUUGUAAAGCACUUUUGGCGGGAACGAAAAGGACUGUGCCAAUACCACGGUUCGAUGACGGUACCCGCAGAAUAAGCACCGGCUAACUACGUG